GACAACAGCCACAAACUCCUUCCGCCCAAUCUGAUUGGUAUAAAACGCCAUUCAACUUCCACUUUACUGCCUACUGAUUCUAGCGGAGUAAUUAAGAACUUGCAAUUUCGAAUCAGUUGUUGUAGGAAAAGGUAUCUUUCCUCUUCUGCCAUUGAUGGGGCCGCUCCAUCCAACUUGCCUGCCGAUCUGGGAAGAAUCUAAGUCGGCGACCGGCUAGGGUUAACUGCUUCACACCACUGGAUCUCGAAUAUGGAAUUGUCAAACCCGACUCUCCUACGGAGAGAUGAAAUUGGAAUCGGAAGAGACAAAUUGGUAGUGGAAGUUGGAGUUGGGAAAGCCAUGGCCAACAACGAACAGAGGAAGAGCAAUAUGUCUCACGAUUUUAAUUGGCAUAAAGGUUCGACAAUACGUCCAGGUCCAGAUUAUUGAUUAUGCACUUUUCCUUGGAAACACCGCAAUGGCAAGUCGGCAAUGGUUGUCCUCUUUAGUUUAUUCUCUUUCAGAAGUUCAGGGACUGGGUUUGUGUUCUUGAGCGAGGAGUUUGAAGUUUUUUGGAUUCGUUGAACUUGACAAUUCACAUUUGAGUUGGUUUGAGUUGCUCCCUCUAUGAGUGGAUACCAAGGAUUUGGUUUUCAGUAAACAGGAUGGCUUUUGGUCAUUGUUGGUGUAGGUGGCUGUAGAAUUCGAUAACUCUGAUGGUACUGGGUGCUUGAUUGAGCUGGGUAAACUUACAAACUCUCACUUUCGAAAUUGUGGUCAGCCUAGAGGUUUUGAAUUGUUCAUGAUAGUCAAAAUACCGUCUCUUAACUCCGAAAAUGAGACCUUUUUCGCCUCUGUUAGCAAGUGAAUGAAUGUUAAUUUUCAUAGGAUUCACUGAUUCAUGUUUGUUUGCAGCUUAUACAAGAUGAGCCCUUUGCUUAUUCAUCCGGCUGAGGAAGAUUGGAAAGUAGGUUUUCAACAUGCAAUUUAAGCCACAAUUGAAACUUAAUUAGGUACACAUCCUCUUUCCCGAUGAACAAAUUCUGAAUUAUAUUAUUAUGUACCUAGCUUUGUAGUCAAAUUGAUAUACCGCUGGCCAUGAGAACAAGUGUCGAUUAGAGAUAUUGCUACCCUUCUUGAUAAGGUUAGUCUAUAUCAGUUCAUUACAUGCUUAAUUUCGUAGUUCUGGUUCGGGGAAAGAUGAUACUUCGUGUUAAUUGGUGGUCAGGUACUAAUCAAGUGGCACCUAGCUUAGUUUAUAUCUAUCUGAGCCAACUGAAGUCCAUCUGGCAUCGCCAAAGUAGUUAUAUAUGGCUGACUGAUACAUUCAUUAAAUAUAUAUAUCAUAACUGAAACAUGCAUAAAUUUUCAGUUGGGGUAAGUAAGUUACAACUGAGUGCAAGUGAUGAGGUACAAGUGGCAAGUUUUGUAUGUUGAUAUUUCAAAUGUUGGUUUCUGGAAACACCUAGCUUUACAUAUGGUUUAACAACAAGCCAAGCAUGACCAGGAUGCCUUAUAAUGUGCUAAUAGAUUUUUUUAAGCAUUCUGUAUUGGGAUCCAUGGCGUGUUAUGUUGUUUGUAGGGGUCUGGAUACGAUGGGGAUUAGGAGCAAUGCCAAAGGUAAUGGUUUUGAGUGCUCGAUAACACUACCAACAGCAGAGUUAUGGGGUGGUGAAUAGGGAAUGAAGUUAGUGGUAACUUCAAGACCAUUUCAGUAUGGUUCUAGCCGGGAUUGUUUAGAAUUAUGAAGAAGAUACAAGAGGUUGUGAGGCGUUAAGAUGAUCAUGUCAAAUUGACAAUGCUUAGUCUUCUCACAUGAUGUACAAUCACAAUGAGUCAGUGAUGAUGAUGAAGAGGGCUAUGAUAUGUGGAAUAUGUUUGUUUCCUCUUUAGUUUUAGGCGAUUUGUGUAGGUUAUUGUCGACAAACCCUUUUGCUAUAUAUGUAUUGUGGUUACAGUUUUGGAUUUAUGUAGGUGUGAAUGGCAAAUCUAAGAACAUAAGUGGCUUACAUCAGGUGGGUUCAUCUCUCUUGAACCAUUAGCUCUUCAAUCUUCGAUCUUGACAUCCACUUCGAUUUUAAAAGCAAAAAAAUAAUCACCCUUUCUAUGUACUAACAAAUCAUACAGC
rnacentral:lncRNA from 1 species